CAUGCAAGUCGAACGGACCAGGGAGCUUCGGUUCCCUGGUUAGUGGCGCACGGGUGCGUAACGCGUAUGCAACCUACCUUCCACUGGGGGAUAGCCCCGGGAAACCGGGAUUAAUACCGCAUAAGACAAUGGCACGGCAUCGUGCAGUUGUUAAAGUUUCGGCGGUGGAAGAUGGGCAUGCGUGCCAUUAGCUUGUUGGCGGGGUAACGGCCCACCAAGGCGACGAUGGCUAGGGGUUCUGAGAGGAUGGUCCCCCACACUGGUACUGAGACACGGACCAGACUCCUACGGGAGGCAGCAGUAGGGAAUAUUGGGCAAUGGCCGCGAGGCUGACCCAGCCAUGCCGCGUGCAGGAAGAAGGCCUUCUGGGUUGUAAACUGCUUUUACCAGGGAAGAAAACGCCCAUGCGUGGGUAACUGACGGUACCUGGUGAAUAAGCACCGGCUAACUCCGUGCCAGCAGCCGCGGUAAUACGGAGGGUGCAAGCGUUGUCCGGAUUUAUUGGGUUUAAAGGGUGCGUAGGCGGCCCGUUAAGUCAGCGGUGAAAUCCCAGGGCUCAACCCUGGAACUGCCGUUGAUACUGGCGGGCUUGAGUUCGGUCGAGGCGGGCGGAACUGGCGGUGUAGCGGUGAAAUGCUUAGAUACCGCCAAGAACCCCGAUUGCGUAGGCAGCUCGCUUGGCCGAAACUGACGCUGAGGCACGAAAGCGUGGGGAGCGAACAGGAUUAGAUACCCUGGUAGUCCACGCCGUAAACGAUG
rnacentral:rRNA from 1 species